ACCAUUACAGGCCCCGAUAGGACGACACCCACUUGUUUGUCGUCUUCUCCGAGGCAUUUGCUUCGCAAGGCCACCUCUACCUCGCUAUUCCUCCCUAUGGGACGUCUCCAUGGUAUUGAAUUUCCUGACUAGAUGGCCAGACAACGAGUCUGUGGCAAACCUAGCCACUCGGACUAUAACUGGACACUAUGCCUUUAAGGGUUGCC